rnacentral:rRNA from 1 species
UACGGGGGGGGCAAGCGUUGUUCGGAAUUACUGGGCGUAAAGGGCGCGUAGGCGGCUCGCUAAGUCGGAUGUGAAAACUCUGGGCUCAACCCAGAGCCUGCAUUCGAAACUGACGAGCUCGAGUUCUGGAGGGGAAAGCGGAAUUCCUGGUGUAGUGGUGAAAUGCGUAGAUAUCAGGAGGAACACCGGUGGCGAAGGCGGCUUUCUGGACAGAAACUGACGCUGAUGCGCGAAAGCUAGGGGAGCAAACAGG